rnacentral:rRNA from 1 species
GACGAACGCUGGCGGCGUGCCUAAUACAUGCAAGUAGAACGCUGAAGGAGGAGCUUGCUUCUCCGGAUGAGUUGCGAACGGGUGAGUAACGCGUAGGUAACCUGCCUGGUAGCGGGGGAUAACUAUUGGAAACGAUAGCUAAUACCGCAUAACAGUAGAUAUUGCAUGAUAUCUGCUUGAAAGGUGCGAUUGCAUCACUACCAGAUGGACCUGCGUUGUAUUAGCUAGUUGGUGAGGUAACGGCUCACCAAGGCGACGAUACAUAGCCGACCUGAGAGGGUGAUCGGCCACACUGGGACUGAGACACGGCCCAGACUCCUACGGGAGGCAGCAGUAGGGAAUCUUCGGCAAUGGACGGAAGUCUGACCGAGCAACGCCGCGUGAGUGAAGAAGGUUUUCGGAUCGUAAAGCUCUGUUGUAAGAGAAGAACGAGUGUGAGAGUGGAAAGUUCACACUGUGACGGUAUCUUACCAGAAAGGGACGGCUAACUACGUG